AGAUGUGAAGGCAGUCUAGCUGUGACAUCUGUCACCCUAUUGAUUCAGCUGAUCUGGCUAGCUAGGCAGGUGUCCUUUUCCUGCCUCAGUGCUCCACUUCUGUCCUUUCCAAAGUUGUGUGCUCAAUCGAAGAGGAGAAGAAAACAACCUUUCUCAAUAGAGGACUGGUCUUUGGUCAAGGGCAUGUGAGUGGCUGCGCUCCCCUGCUAGAAUGUCCAGACAAGCUCUUAUAUAACUGAAAGCAUGUGUAGUCCCUAACGACUACAGCACACUGAUUAAAUUGAUACAACUUUACCCCAGUAUGAAUUAUUUU
rnacentral:snRNA from 1 species